rnacentral:tRNA from 1 species
GAGGGUGUAGCUCAGUGGUAGAGUGCAUGCCUAGCACACACGAUGUCCUGGGUUCAAUCCACAGUACCUCUG